rnacentral:lncRNA from 1 species
AUGAGGGGGAACAGGGUGAGCCAUACGGAAACAGGGUCAAGCACCGCUGCCCCCCAAGCCCCACUCGACAGAGCCAUGAGAGCUUUCCCAAGACAGCUGAGGUGGGGGCAGCAAGAAGAGGAGUUAAUUUCGCRGCUUUUUUUUUUUUCUUGUUCCAGUAAGGGCAGGCCCAAUCCAAUGAAGAGCAAAAACCGUGGCCACUCGCUGCCGGGGGAAGAGGCUGCAGUUCCCCAAGGAGAAGAGGCCUGGCGGGCAGGCGGAGGGGCUCUGCCAGCCCUCAGCCCCCGACUCCCGCGGCGAGAGCGGCACCGAGGGGCGGCUGCGGUCUCUCUCCGCGGCGCGGGCGGGGGGGGUCACAAGGGGUCUCCCAGCCACUGUUCCAGGGGCCGCCUCGCCCCUGGCCCGCCGUUGGGGGGGAGGGGCGGGGGACGACGCUCGCCCCAACCCGCAACCGCCCCUCCCGCCGCCAUUCACACAGGCGCCAACGGCUGCCCCCGGGGAUCGUGCGGGAGGGGAAGAGGGGGGUGUGCGGGAAGGGUGCCGAGGAGCCCCGCUGUCUUACUCUGGCUUCUCCGCGGUCCCGCCGGUGGAGGCCGCCCGCCCGAGCCCGGCAACGGCCGCCGCCGCCCGUACGUGGCAGAGCAGCGAAGGGGCUGGAGCAACGGCUGCAACUGGCGGGCCUGCGCGAGCCGCCCGCAUGCGCACUCGAGGCCCCAGCCCGGCCGGCGCCGUAGGGCGCAUGCGCCGACCAGGGCAGCGGGGGCGGGAAGCCGCUUCCCUCCCCGCGCCGACGCGUCGUGGGGCGGGGGCGCGCGCGCAACCGCACGCGCGGCGGGGCGGGGCUUUGGCGCCGCCGGGGACUGCGUGGCCGCCCGGGCGGCGGUCGUCGGGGCUGUGAGGGCAGGGGCGGCGCCGUGGCGGUGGGGAUGCAGCCCGGCAGCCUACUCAGACACUUGCCCCGGCCCCUUGGGGUUGCUGCCUCACUCUUUUCUCCCAGCUAAAAAGGUUUUUGUUUGUUUGUUUGUUUUUAGCCAGUAUUUACCAAAUGGACAGGUCUUGGGGCAAAACCUUUCAAAGUGUUGUCACUAA